GGCGAGUUCGGCUAGUGGCCAGGCCGCUGGGUUCUCAACCCGGAAACAGGGGUUCGAUUCCCCUACUCGCUGC
rnacentral:tRNA from 1 species